GACGAACGCUGGCGGCGUGCUUAACACAUGCAAGUCGAGCGGAGCGGCGAACGGGUGAGUAACGCGUGAGUAACUGCCCCCCUCUCUGGGAUAACAGUUGGAAACGGCUGCUAAUACCGGAUAGUGGGGGAUGACUCGCGUCCUAUCAGAUUGUUGGUGGGGUAGUGGCCUACCAAGGAGACGACGGGUAGCCGGCCUGAGAGGGCGACCGGCCACAGUGGGCUGGGGUGCGGCCAAAAGGCCUACGGGAGGCAGCAGGGGGGAAUAUUGCAAAAGGGGGGAACCCCUGAUGCAGCAACGCGCGGGGGGGAUGCGGGCCUGCGGGUUGUAAACCGCUUUCAGCCAUGACGCGGUAGUGGCAGAAGAAGCACCGGCUAACUACGUGCCAGCAGCCGCGGUAAUAC
rnacentral:rRNA from 1 species